rnacentral:rRNA from 1 species
UUCCGGUUGAUCCCGCCGGACCUGACUGCUAUCGGAUUGAUACUAAGCCAUGCGAGUCAUUGUAGCAAUACAAGGCAUACGGCUCAGUAACGCGUAGUCAACCUAACCUAUGGACGGGAAUAACCUCGGGAAACUGAGAAUAAUGCCCGAUAGAACAUUAUACCUGGAAUGGUUUAUGUUCCAAAUGAUUUAUCGCCGUAGGAUGGGACUGCGGCCUAUCAGUUUGUUGGUGAGGUAAUGGCCCACCAAGACUAUUACAGGUACGGGCUCUGAGAGGAGUAGCCCGGAGAUGGGUACUGAGACACGGACCCAGGCCCUAUGGGGCGCAGCAGGCGAGAAAACUUUGCAAUGUGCGAAAGCACGACAAGGUUAAUCCGAGUGAUUUCUGCUAAAGAAAUCUUUUGUUAGUCCUAGAAACACUAACGAAUAAGGGGUGGGCAAGUUCUGGUGUCAGCCGCCGCGGUAAAACCAGCACCUCAAGUGGUCAGGAUGAUUAUUGGGCCUAAAGCAUCCGUAGCCGGCUCUGUAAGUUUUCGGUUAAAUCUGUACGCUUAACGUACAGGCCGCCGGGAAUACUGCAAAGCUAGGGAGUGGGAGAAGUAGACGGUACUCGGUAGGAAGUGGUAAAAUGCUUUGAUCUAUCGAUGACCACCUGUGGCGAAGGCGGUCUACUAGAACACGUCCGACGGUGAGGGAUGAAAGCUGGGGGAGCAAACCGGAUUAGAUACCCGGGUAGUCCCAGCUGUAAACUAUGCAAACUCAGUGAUGCAUUGGCUUGUGGCCAAUGCAGUGCUGCAGGGAAGCCGUUAAGUUUGCCGCCUGGGAAGUACGUACGCAAGUAU